rnacentral:rRNA from 1 species
ACGCGCAGAACCUUACCCGGGCUUGAAUUGCAGACGAACGAUUCAGAGAUGAUGAGGCCUUUCGGGGCGUCUGUGAAGGUGCUGCAUGGUUGUCGUCAGCUCGUGCCGUGAGGUGUCGGCUUAAGUGCCAUAACGAGCGCAACCCCCUUUCUUCAGUUGCCAUCAGGUGAUGCUGGGCACUCUGGAGACACUGCCACCGCAAGGUGUGAGGAAGGUGGGGAUGACGUCAAAUCAGCACGGCCCUUACGUC